UGCAGUUUGAUCUCUGACUGCUGUGCUAGCAAUCAGUGAGACUCCCUGGGCAUAGGACCCUCCGAGCCAGGUGGGGGUUAUAAUCUCGUGGUGCGCCGUUUUUUAAGCCCGUCGGAAAAGCGCAGUAUUCCGGUUGGAGUGACCCGAUUUCCAGGUGCUGUCCGUCACCCCUUUCUUUGACUGGGAAAGGGAACUCCCUGACCCCUUGCCCUUCCCAAGUGAGGCAGUGCCUCGCCCUGCUUCGGCUCGCGCACGGUGCACGCACUCACUGACCUGCGCCCACUGUCUGGCACUCCCUAGUGAGAUGAACCCGGUACCUCAGAUGGAAAUGCAGAAAUCACCCGUCUUCUGCGUCGCUCAAGCUGGGAGCUGUAGACCGGAGCUGUUCCUACUCGGCCAUCUUGGCUCCUCCCCGCCAAGCCUGUCAGUCAGAAUUCCAUUGCAUGCCUGUUCUUGAACAACCAUGGUCAAGGAGACAAGAUUCCUGAUGACUGACUCACACUAAUCAAAACUCAGCCACUGGUCCUAGCAAACUUCAUGAGAUGAGAGUGGAGAGUGUCCCAUCUCAUCUUAAGCAUAUGACUGUCCCAUACCCAUACAAAAUCAGGUUCUUUGCACAAAGAACAAUAGAGGUGAAUGACCAAUGAGUAAUCAAAGAGAGAGUUUUUCAGAAUAUGACUGCAUUUGGAAAUAGGGACUUUAAAGAGGUGAUUAAGUUACAAUGAGGCCACUAGAGAAGACAAUUAUCCAUUUGGACUGAUGUGCUUAGAAGAAGAGCAUAUUGGUAAAAAGAGACACCAGAGGUACAACAGCACAGAGAAAGACCAUGUGAGGACAUAGUGAGAAGAUGGCCAUCCCAUCUGCAAGCCAAGGACAGAGGCCUCAGGAGAAACCAACCCUGAUGACACCUUGAUCUUGGACUUCACAGCCUCCAGAACUAACAUACUCAAGUGUCUCAGCUCAACAUUUGGAGAUGAGCCAUCCUCCUCUUAUUGUAAGAAAAGCUUGAAGGAGUAUUUUCACAGCGAUGGAACUGGAAGUUAAGGCAACUUCUAUCAGCAUCAAGAAAAGAAAAGAAGUAUUCACCACUUACGAAACAACAUCUCUCUUCUCAUCAAUAGUUUGAUUUACAGCAUCUACUGCAGAAGACCUCAAUAAUGCAUAAGAACAUCUGGAAGUACGGUAAUUUCAGCUAUCAGAGAUAAGAAUUGACACAGAACAGUUUCCUCACUGGAGAAAAUAAGCCUGGUUAUUUUUUGGCCUAUGUUGAAACAUCAUAAGUAGAAUGAAACAGCAUAAUUUUUUCCCCCUGGGGUUCAAGAGUUUAUUUCUUUUGAUACAACAAUAAAUCAACUGACGAAAUGGAAUUUCUUUGCAAUACAUAUGCAACAAGUUAGUUUGCAUGGACAAGUUGAGCUUCAGUUUAUAUAUAGACACUCUGGAACAUUUUAUUAUAAAGCAAUAGUGCUGGAAAGCCACUUAAAGGGGUAACUGCACCAGUAACUAUGAGAAGGAGAUAUAUGAUUAACCUAGUAGAACUUAAAAAGUGAUUUCUGCAGCUUUGAAAUCAUCUACACAUGAACUCAAGCAGCAAUACGUAUUGGCAUCUGGAAAUCUGCAGAUUUGGAUGCACAAACAAUUAGACAUAAGACACAGCAUAAUGAAGUAUUUGUUUUCAUAGAGGAUCAUAGAAAUUCAUAAACAGAGGAUGAAGAAACACAGAAGACAGAGGAAGGAUUUAGUUUUGGGAACAUGUGCUAAUGGCCAUCAAACAAUUCUGAAAUAACUGAAAGAGAACCUUUGAAACACCCUUUAGAUUAAGAGCCUGGCUUGUAAUCUGUAACAACAAACGGUAUUACAAUGAGAGAAAAAUAAAUGUCCUGUCAAGGCAUUCCUUCAAUGACAUCUUGUCACACAAGUCUAUAUCCAAGGCUGCCCACAAAGUGGAAAAAUGGGGAAAAUAAGGCGGGACCACAAGGCAAGAGGAGAAAGGUACAAUGAGGGUUCAGGAAAGAGACUUUUGAUGUUUGAUUUAUCUACUCAUAUCAAACUACAAAAAAAAUUCUAUCUGAACUUUUGCUUUCAACAUACAAUAGAUCUGUGCUGCAUUUUUUUCCUGAAGAAAAAAUGCAUUUUUUCCUCAGUUACUGCUACUAAACAGAAGCUGUUUUUCUACAAACCGAAAAUAAGUAGUCUAUUCAUAUGUAAUUUAAAGCCCCUGAAAACUGUGAAGAGGAAAUGGAAAAUACAGCGCAAAGGCUUCACAUUGUUCUCAAACUAUCAUGUAACAGGCUUACCAUAUAGAACAGUGACAUAAACAUGCUGGGCUCAUAUACAUUUCAAGAGAGCCAGACCUCUAUGGAUUUCUGGAAAGCAGACCUAUUUGUCCAGGGUCUGUCACUGUAAAACAGAAAAAUGCCCCCUGACAAGCUUCUGCUAAUUUUAUUGUGGCACGGAGUCCUGUGCAUACAUCCUCUACAGUAUGACUGCAGUUCAAUUGCAGAGCACGAUGAAAUUGGAUCGGCAGAGACAGGGACUACCCUGGGGUCAGCUGUGACCAUGCCACUUCCAUGUGAUGUCUAGUUGGGGUGAUGGUGUGUAAAUAAACGUAGAGAAUUGCAAAUCUUGUCAUGGCCACGCAGAACAGCUCAAGCAUUUAAAGAUGGUUGCCCGCAAACCUAACUGGAAGGUGGUUGCUGUGUGUGGUGGCUGAGGAAAUACUCAAUUCCUUGCCGGAGUCUUCUCGUUCUUGACAUAUCUGAAAGCACUGACCCAGCACUAUGUUGCUAAAGGGAUUAAUCACUAAAUUGUUUUUCACUGUGGUGGAAACUAAGGAAACACACUAAUCAUAUUUGAAUAUUGUGCUUUAAAGCUAUUGUGCUGAUACCAAAGACACUUUUUAUUUAUAUUAUCCUUUUUUGAUUUAUUUGUUUUUUUAAAUGAGGUGAAACAUCUUAAUGUCCUACUGUUUUC
rnacentral:lncRNA from 1 species